rnacentral:misc_RNA from 1 species
AGGCUUGAAAUGCCAGUUUCAUAAGAAGCAGGUGAGGAAUAGGUUUCUAACUGGUCAUUGUUGUCAUUUUUCGCGGAAGUGUUUAGCACUGGAACAGCAUUAGAAACUGCUGAUGACGAUACCAGGCAACUUGCCAAGAGAGAGGGUGCGGAGCUGAAUGAAUCGUCUGUUUCAAAACUGAAUGAUUCAGGAUUCAAGUCAAACAUUCCUUCUUCGUUAUUCCUGUGAUUGUCAUUGCCGCCGCUUUCCUCGUUGUCGAAACUGUAAACAUUGAGCUGUUCAGAGGCUUUCCAGGUCGUAAGUGUCAUUGAUGGCUGUGAGAAACACGAUAGAGGUUUUCCAGGUUUUUCCUCCCAGUUGAAAGGAACCGAGGCAACAAGCUUGACUGGAGAUGGUAGAGCUAGGGUAGUAACUGGAGAAACCACAGGUCUCCAGUCCUUUUUUGCUACUCCUGGCCUUUCCUCCCAG